AGAGCGAACGCUGGCGGCAGGCUUAACACAUGCAAGUCGAGCGGGCGUAGCAAUACGUCAGCGGCAGACGGGUGAGUAACGCGUGGGAACAUACCUUUUGGUUCGGAACAACACAGGGAAACUUGUGCUAAUACCGGAUAAGCCCUUACGGGGAAAGAUUUAUCGCCGAAAGAUUGGCCCCGCGUCUGAUUAGCUAGUUGGUGAGGUAACGGCUCACCAAGGCGACGAUCAGUAGCUGGUCUGAGAGGAUGAUCAGCCACAUUGGGACUGAGACACGGCCCAAACUCCUACGGGAGGCAGCAGUGGGGAAUAUUGGACAAUGGGCGCAAGCCUGAUCCAGCCAUGCCGCGUGAGUGAUGAAGGCCCUAGGGUUGUAAAGCUCUUUUGUGCGGGAAGAUAAUGACGGUACCGCAAGAAUAAGCCCCGGCUAACUUCGUGCCAGCAGCCGC
rnacentral:rRNA from 1 species